GAGUUUGAUCCUGGCUCAAGAUGAACGCUAGCGGCAGGCUUAACACAAGCAAGUCGAGGGGUAUUGGUUUUCGGACCAAGAGACCGGCGCACGGGUGCGUAACGCGUAUGCAAUCUACCUUUCACAGAGGGAUAGCCCAGAGAAAUUUGGAUUAAUACCUCAUAGUAUUAUAGAAUGGCAUCAUUUUAUAAUUAAAGUCACAACGGUGAAAGAUGUGCAUGCGUCCCAUUAGCUUGUUGGUAAGGUAACGGCUUACCAAGGCAACGAUGGGUAGGGGUCCUGAGAGGGAGAUCCCCCACACUGGUACUGAGACACGGACCAUACUCCUAGAGGAGGCAGCAGUGAGGAAUAUUGGUCAAUGGACGCAAGUCUGAACCAGCCAUGCCGCGUGCAGGAUGACGGUCCUAUGGAUUUGUAAACUGCUUUUGUACGAGAAGAAACAACAUUACGUGUAAUGUCUUGACGGUAUCGUAAGAAUAAGGAUCGGCUAACUCCGUGCCAGCAGCCGCGGUAAUACGGAGGAUCCAAGCGUUAUCCGGAAUCAUUGGGUUUAAAGGGUCCGUAGGCGGUUUAGUAAGUCAGUGGUGAAAGCCCAUCGCUCAACGGUGGAACGGCCAUUGAUACUGCUAGACUUGAAUUAUUAGGAAGUACUUAGAUAUGUAGUGUAGCGGUGAAAUGCUUAAAGAUUACAUGGAAUACAAUUGCGAAGGCAGUACUACUAUUAAUUGACGCUGAUGGACGAAAGCGUGGGUAGCGAACAGGAUUAGAUACCCUGGUAGUCCACGCCGAAACGAUGGAUACUAGCUGUGGGGCAACUUCAUGCUUAGCGAAAGUGAUAGUUUCCACCUGGGAGUAGUUCGCAGAUGAACUCAAAGGAUUGACGGGGCCGCCAGCGGUG
rnacentral:rRNA from 1 species